UACGGGGGGGGUAAGCGUUGUUCGGAAUUACUGGGCGUAAAGGGCUCGUAGGCGGCCAACUAAGUCGGACGUGAAAUCCCUCAGCUUAACUGGGGAACUGCGUCCGAUACUGGCAGGCUUGAAUCCGGGAGGGGGAUGUGGAAUUCCAGGUGUAGCGGUGAAAUGCGUAGAUAUCUGGAGGAACACCGGUGGCGAAGGCGGCAUCCUGGACCGGUAUUGACGCUGAGGCGCGAAAGCCAGGGGAGCAAACGGG
rnacentral:rRNA from 1 species